GACGAACGCUGGCGGCGUGCCUAAUACAUGCAAGUUGAGCGCUGAAGGUUGGUACUUGUACCAACUGGAUGAGCAGCGAACGGGUGAGUAACGCGUGGGGAAUCUGCCUUUGAGCGGGGGACAACAUUUGGAAACGAAUGCUAAUACCGCAUAAAAACUUUAAACACAAGUUUUAAGUUUGAAAGAUGCAAUUGCAUCACUCAAAGAUGAUCCCGCGUUGUAUUAGCUAGUUGGUGAGGUAAAGGCUCACCAAGGCGAUGAUACAUAGCCGACCUGAGAGGGUGAUCGGCCACAAUGGGACUGAGAAACGGCCCAAACUCCUACGGGAGGCAGCAGUAGGGAAUCUUCGGCAAUGGACGAAAGUCUGACCGAGCAACGCCGCGGGAGUGAAGAAGGUUUUCGGAUCGUAAAACUCUGUUGGUAGAGAAGAACGUUGGUGAGAGUGGAAAGCUCAUCAAGUGACGGUAACUACCCAGAAAGGGACGGCUAACUACGUG
rnacentral:rRNA from 1 species